rnacentral:tRNA from 1 species
AAAUACGCGCAUGCGCGUAUUUAGUUAUUGUUGAUUUGCACUCAACUUUUAUGAAUUUUCAUACU